UACGGGGGGAGCAAGCGUUGUUCGGAUUUACUGGGCGUAAAGGGCGCGUAGGCGGCCAGCACAAGUCAGUUGUGAAAUCUCCGAGCUUAACUCGGAAAGGUCAACUGAUACUGUGCGGCUAGAGUGCAGAAGGGGCAACUGGAAUUCUUGGUGUAGCGGUGAAAUGCGUAGAUAUCAAGAGGAACACCGGCGGCGAAGGCGGGUUGCUGGGCUGACACUGACGCUGAGGCGCGAAAGCUAGGGGAGCGAACGGG
rnacentral:rRNA from 1 species